rnacentral:rRNA from 1 species
AACGAACGCUGGCGGCAUGCCUAAUACAUGCAAGUCGAACGAGAUCUUCGGAUCUAGUGGCGCACGGGUGCGUAACGCGUGGGAAUCUGCCCUUGGGUUCGGAAUAACUUCUGGAAACGGAAGCUAAUACCGGAUGAUGACGUAAGUCCAAAGAUUUAUCGCCCAAGGAUGAGCCCGCGUAGGAUUAGCUAGUUGGUGGGGUAAAGGCCCACCAAGGCGACGAUCCUUAGCUGGUCUGAGAGGAUGAUCAGCCACACUGGGACUGAGACACGGCCCAGACUCCUACGGGAGGCAGCAGUAGGGAAUAUUGGACACUGGGCGAAAGCCUGAUCCAGCAAUGCCGCGUGAGUGAUGAAGGCCUUAGGGUUGUAAAGCUCUUUUACCCGGGAUGAUAAUGACAGUACCGGGAGAAUAAGCACCGGCUAACUACGUG